CAAUAACCAGGCAUUGUACAUGUCAAUUCUUAGUAUUAAUAGUUCAGAAAUUUAAGAUAGAAGUGAGAUGUUUUCUGGAGGUCAUGACAUUAACCAAAAUGUCAUGUUUUGCCCACCUUCUGUGGAAAAAAGAGGGUCUCUGCGGUGGUCCAUUCCAUUAAAGAGCACCCAGAGGCCUAGGAGCGGAAUGUACAAAGAGCUGACAGAAGUCGAGCAGCUCUCAACUGUCCCCUGACGUGUUAAGUGCCACCGAGCCCUGGAUCUGAAUCUUCAGAGUCACAGGACAGAUUCUGAGAGUGGCCAGAAGUGACCGGGCAAUAACUAGUCCUACACUUGUUAGAAAUUGAAGCAAUGCUGUGUAAAAUCUUAGGUGAGCUCCUGUACCGUGGUGCCUGAGCAGAGCGUGCCUGGCACGCUGGUGGCGCCUGUGCCGCGCGGUGUGGCCGCCCCUUGAGAACCGAGGGUGCCAGCCCGCGCUCAGAGCUCUCAUGUGAGUUGCCUCUUCAAGGUCCGCUUUGCUUCCAGUGUGCUGGUUACCUGCACGUGUUAGGAGAGCGGCUGUUGGUGCGUCCAUAGAGCCACAGAACCUUUGAGAUAACACGACCCUUGUUGCUUUCUCUAGAGGCUUGUGAAGAAUGCCAUCAAUAAUUAGUCAGUGAUACACUAUCUCCUCCCAUAGUGUGCAAAUUAAAAGUAAAGCAAAGAACCAAGAGAAAAAAUAUUUAUUAUUUCAGUGGGUUGAAGUGAGGUUUUUUUUGUAUUUAUAUUUCUGUCUUCUGUGUCUUUACCUCACAUGCUCAAAUCUAAGGAUCCUGUCCAACACCGCUUUGAAUUAUUGUCCACAACAGCAAACAAAUAAUUAACUGGAUACAAACAGUAGGGCACUGCAGUGCUGUGUGGGAGUUAUGUACAAGAUAGCGUUCUGCCGAAAUGCUGCACGCCUGUGUUGUGCGCUGGCCGCAGGACGUUGUUGGUAGAUGAGGAGGACAAGCUCCCUGAAGAACAGAUCCCAAAGUGAGUGUUUUCUCGGUGGGUCGGAAAAUGUCAAGACUGGUACAGCCGCUGAUCAGGUUGCGCCCUGCUGAAGGGUAUGAUUCUUUUCAUUGCCGUUUUCUGUUAAAACAAUGAGCCAUUGACAUACUGCAAGCCUAACAGACAUGCUGAACACUGAAGGCCAUGUGUGCUCUGAGUGUUGAGUACACUUACAAUCAAGAAAAUUAUUAAGGCUGGAAGGUAUUAAAAAUGAGAGGAAAGAAAUGUCUAAAUGUAGGAUGUCAGAUUAAAGUAUUCAUAAGUAAUGUCUAGGUCGCUGGAAAGCAAUCAGCCACAACUUAAGCAAACAGUAAGCGAUGCCUUUCCUGGCAUCGGGGCAAAUCAAUAGUCACAUUUGCUGUUCUUUCUUGCCGCUUGCGCCCUAGAUCGGAGUUUCUUUUUGCCAUCCAAAUGACAUAAGCAAAUAAUCUGCAAGGAAAAUAAGUUCUGUUUCAAUGUCACAGAUUAGCUGGCUCCGUGUCUCUGGACAAUGAGAUAAUUUGAACAAAGUCCAUGACUUGAAUGUCUCUUUUUGGUCUUUUCUUAAUCCCCAGCGACAAAGCGCAAAGCUUGCCUAACACGAGUACUGUAUAUAUAGAAAACGGGGAAAACCCCUACAGAAAACAGGGAGAACAUCCAAUGACUCUGUGAACAGGGGGAGUUGUCCUGUUCCAAACCAUCUUUCUCAGGUCACGUCUGGGAGAGAAAAUGACCAGUUUUUCCUCAGGGUUUACAUGAGUUUUUCUACCUUCAAAUGUGAAAGGGCAAAGCGGAUCUUUUUCAGCUCCCAUUUGCUUGUCUCAUGUUUUUGGUUUGCCUACUCGCUGACCCUGUUCUCACUUUAUUUUCCUGUUGGCUUUGUCCUUUUUUACUCUUCUCUAUUUCACUGAAGCUAUUAGUGUAAGGCGGAUCAAAUAAUUUCAGGGCUUAAGCAGACCCUUGAACUCACCGUGUUUAAUGGAUUUGUAAUUAGGCCAUGUAUCCCUGUGAGAAUGGGCGGCCUGGGAAUUUGCCAAGGAUUUAUAGGGGGAUUUAGUAUCCUACUAAGAGUUUCCAGACCUAUUAAAUUCCUUAAGAAGUUUCAAAGACGCCGCUGAUUUAGGCAGGGAAAUGUUUUGAACUGGGGCGUCUCUAAAUACACAUAAAACUGAGAGAGGUAGAAAAAUGCUUUUCUUGCAGAGAACAAGAAAAAGUUUCAAAGAUUUUAUAAUUUAAAGUGCAGAAAUAGAUUUUCAAACUUAUCUCGGUGCCACGUGGCUGGAUUAAACCAUAUGAUGUGUGUUUUCUCUGAAGUGUGUAUUUCCAUUUUUGCUAAGACAUGAAAGCAGACGUUACGCAGGCACUGUGUGUGCACUGUGCUGUAGGGAUACGUGACUACUGCUGCUUGCUGAUCUUUGAACACAUAAUUGUGUUUUAAAAGAUCCUGAUGGAUUUGCUUUUCCCAUCCUACCUGUUUGCCAUUUAUGCAGUUCUGCAGCACUACAUUUUUCUGUAUCUUUUGGGGAGAUCAGGUAUUGUCUGUUAAAUGCCAGGUUAUUUUAUUAUGAAGUCCUGGUUUAUAUUUAUGCGUAACUGAGAACACGUCCGACCUCCUGAUGUUGGUUACUCCCCAGAGAGGAGGCAGAAGACAUGGAACCUCAAAAUACUUUCCUCCCCCAUUCCACGUCUCAGUGCUUUGGAUGCAGCUCCUGUGUUGGGCAGGGCGGAGGGGGAAGGGGCAGAAGACAAGUGGUCAGCUUCCUCAUGGUAGCACAAACCUGCUGGUUUUCUGCCGGGUUGAAGGUACCCAAAACAUAAUUAGCUUUCUUCUCGUUGUUCAACGACUACCCUGAGAAGAGACCACAGAACAGUAAAAGAGUCUGUUUACCUGUACAGCACAGUGAGUGUAGAACCUCAUUUAAAUUUGACCAGUGAGUUUGGGUAGCAAAAUUUGGCUCUGGGCUCAAAUUCAGGUUUUCUUUUAGCCAUAACGUGUAUCAGCACCUCCCAGACUAGUUUGGAUCCAUACCCGUAUUUCCUGACCACAGAAAUCCGAAUGCACUUGAUGUUAAAUCCAUUGGUUCUGUGGAAUGGUCAAGUUUUGACGCUACCAUGAGUUUAAGUAAAUCUCAUUUAAAUACCAGAGUAUCUAUUCAGCGGUUUCUGUAACCACUGCAACUACUGUCUCUGUUACCUUCCCCAUUACUCGACUGAUGGCAUCCUCAGUACCCAAACACGUGUUCCUAAAAGUGCUGACUCUUGUUAGUAGUGGGGUGAACAGAAAAAUACUCAAGUGUUCCGUGUGCCUUACAGCUUGAUUUUGUCUGUAUAAGGAGAUUCUCCUAUUUACACAGCUUCAGAGUAGCUCUGUCAGCAGCAGGCAGAGUCAUUCCGUUGCCGCCUUUGGCAUUACAGUGUAUUUAUACCACUGAUCAUCCCAUUUAAUGGCAUAGAGUUUGGCUUUCUUUAAAUGAUAACAGCAGCAGGAGUUGAUAGUUCAUUGUGUCACACUCUGAGUUCUUAAAAUGUAAUCAAAACUACCAGUCUGAAGAGUUUCUGGAAAACAAAUUUGCAGUUUAAACAUCAAGCACAAAGUGUCCCUUCUUUCUUCACUGAAUAAGCUUUCGAAAGGCCAAGAGCUGCUGCAGAGAUAACAAGGAUAGGAAAAUUUACAGCAGGUGGUACCAACUGUGCAAGUACAACUCCCAGCCAAAGCAAUCGGGCGCCCAGCUGUGGAGAAGCCUGGGGGGGCGGGGGGUGACUCAGGCGGAAGAGAGGACGCAGAGUUGGCUGCAGCACCAAGCCCCGUCCACAAGUGUGUUGUUCUCUCUCCCUCACUGAGAUAACCCCGGGGAAUGCCAUGUUAAAAAUAAACAAGGCUUCUGGUCUGUUGAGCAGUUAGAUGUGUUCCUUUCCUAUGCAGAAAGAAACGGCUAACAGCAAACAUGAAGUGCUGCGUGUGAUGAUGAAGGGUGCUUGGUGUAGCAAAGCCCGAGUAACUCCAGCGGGAUGGAUGUGCCCUGAAGAGAGGAUUUCUUUCAGAGAGAUGUCAAAAACCACACAAGUAUCUCAAAGAAGUGGUUAAUGAGGAGAACAGGAAAGAAAAUGGCAGAGCAUGUAAAAGAUAAAACAGUGGAGAGAAUGUGAUGCUACUGAAGGGCUGAUUUCACAGCACUGGAGACUCGAAUUCUGUUUGCACAGCGAGCAGCUUGGGUUUUGUGGACCGUACAGGGGAGGAAUGCUGGUGUCCACGGCCUGGAAUGUUAACGCUGUGCGGAGAUGCUGGAGCUGGGAACAGCUGGAGCUGGGGACAACUGGAGCUGGGAACAGCAGGAGCUGGUGAACAGCUGGAGCCGGGAAGAGCUGGAGCCGGGGAACAGCUGAAUCUGGGAACAGCUGGAGCUGGAACAGCUGGAGCUGGGGGAACAGCAGGAGCCAGGAGAAGCUGGAGCUGGAACAGCUGGAGCUGGAACAGCUGGAGCUGGGAGCAGCAGCUGGAGUUUUUCCAGACCUUUCCAAAGCUUCGAGUCACACCCGAAGUCUCCUAAGGAAGCCCCGGGAACACCUCGGUACCCUGAGCCGCCUCCUGGAGCGGGUGAGCUCCAGCUGUUCCUGCAGCUGGGAUCUCCAGCUGUUCCUGCAGCUGGGCUCUCCUGCUGCCCCGCUGCACGUUGCUGCUGCUCUGCUGGCACCUGUGUCCCAGCAGGGAGAAGUCACACCAGGAUAAAGGAUCUGUUCCUGCGUUGGAAGGCACAGUGUUGGUGUUAGGGAGCUGCCGUGGUUCAGGAGGCGCGGAGCGGAGGAGAAGGGGACUGGGCGGGGAGGAUGUCCAUCCCCAGCUCCCUGCCCUGGCACAGUCCCGCCCCGGGACACAGCCGCAGGUAAAGGUGUCGUCAUCUUCUUCUUUCUCUUGGUUUCUGCAAGGUCGUUGCCCAUGGCUUUGCGGCAGUGCUGUGUUACUCCAUUCUAGCAUGGCUCCUUUGGAGAAUUUAGAGAAGGGGGUUGUGCUGACUCUCUCUCUCUGCUUGCCUGCUUGGCCUUGCCACCCCCUGCUCUAGUUGAGUCUGUUCAUGAAUUUCAGGGUGAAGUUACAACUGCAAAGAUAAUGUUCCUGUACAUUUUGAAAGACUGCAAUAUAAACUCAUCCUUUAGAAGAGCCCAGAGAAUCCAGCUGGGGUUCAUUUGCCCCAGUCACAAAAGGCGUUUCAGAGCUUAGACCUUGCUGGGUGUGCGAGUCAAAUACCCGGCGGCACAGCUCUGGAAAAUCCUGCUGCUCUUUGCUUGUUCCUUACUGUGGUUGCUUUAUCUCUUUAGUUUUAAGAUGAAGCUGAUCUUUCUGUACAUGUUUUAUCAGAAUUUUUCAGUCAUGUUAAAGGAACAUAAACCUUUGGCUUAUAACUGUCAAAUGACCAGAGGAAAGAGCAUUUCACCGUAUUGUGAGUGAUGGUAAAGCUGACACAGGGCAUGGCAAGGCGCAGUUCCUGCAAUAAAAUACAUUCUGAGGGAAGGGAAACUGAAGUGAGUAAUACAUCAUCUGCCUUGAAUGGGCAUGAUGGUAAAUAGAAGUGACUUUCCUUUUAUAACACCGAUGAGCAUUUCAUUUUGAAUGCAACGGGAAGGCACAGGAUGAACUGCUCUGACCAAAGUGUCCAAACACCUACCGAGAGGCACAGCGGCUGUGCAGCACAGCCAGCAAUCCGGGUCGCAGAUGGGAAGAGGGUUGUAUGGAGGGAGCUUUGAGGAGGUUUGUGGUUGGUGUCUGCAGCCGGGGCUGUUGGACACCCCGUGUGGGUACAGUGACUGAGGAUACGCGAGAAGAAACUUCCCAAAGCAGGGAAGAUAAAUUUCCCGAGCAUCACUGAGAUUGUUUCUAGACAGCCAGCAGCAAUAUGGAAGAGAGAGGCGUGUGUAGGCACGUCUCCACACUCAGGCAGCGCGGUCGUGUUUCCUGAGGAAGCCAAAAAUAAUGGGCCAAACAAGGAUGAAUGGUGCAUCUUUCUGUUCUCACCUCUUGGCUGUACUUCUGACCAGCUCACACUGUUAAGAUUUAGAGCACUGUCCUUAAUUUAAAGUUGACUCGUGGGGGCAGAGGUGACUGUGAUUUGUAAAUAGGAGGAAAUGAGCCCUGGCCUUUAGCCGGCACAGCACAGAUUAACAAUCAAUAGUCCAGCAGGACAGAUAAAUCACAAAAGCCACAUCAAAUCCUGUACGGUUAAAGGCCAGAUGGAUGGUCCAGCUCCAGGGCUGUGCCUCGUGUGCAGGCAGGAUGGAUGCUCCUCUCCUUGUCACAUUUCGGACAUGGGGGUUGAUGGUACUGAUCAAUAAUGCAGAAUCCUUGAAGCAGAGGCAGCUACGGUGUGAAGGGGAGGACAGAGAGCGAAGGGCUCUGCUCAGGCUGCGGGAGGAGCGUGGCUUUACGGCAGGUCCUGCCACAGGGCCGGUUCUGCGGCUGCACCGGGCACGCGGGGCCGAGGGGAAGACAGAGCCUGUUUUGGGGUGUAACCCUUCCCAGAGCCACAGCGGGCCAGCGUGGAAAUGCUGCAUGACGGCUUAUUCAGACAAGUUGCCAUUGCCCUGAGCUCUGGUCCUUGUCCUUGCCCCAUGACACAGCUGCAGCCGUGCCUUCUGUUCUGCUCCCUACCCAUUUGGGCUCCAGCACCCGAAUCGCCGUUGGAGGGACAGCACCGGGCCGGCGCUUCACACAGCUGCUGCUGUUCCGAGGGCUGAGCGAGGGCCGGGUGCUUAACAGCACAGAUUUCUAACCAAGUGCAUUUGUAAUGUUACCCAGACUAGCGAGUAAUUGCAGCAGCCUUACAAUAUUUAAUCAGAAGAUACUUGUCUUGCAUCCCCGUCGUGUAUUUGAACUGCAAGUGGUGCCAAAAAGAGAAGAGAGGCAGAGUGCUCCGAGAAGGCUGCAUUGAACCUGCCUGUCCGCUUAACAUCUGAGAGUUGGAAAUUCUGUCAGCUUCUAAGUUUCACUUUCUCUGGAGAAAACACUCAUAACGUGCCAAAAUGGGUUUGGCUGUGAUUCCAUCCGUGUGUUCCGCUGGUGCAGACGACAUCUGAUGCGGCUCAGAUUUGAAUCCUGCAGGGAAUGGAAGUUUCAUAAACCCCAAACUGAGUUGAGAUCCCGCAGGCAGACGACACCCGGUUAACGUGCACGGCAGUUACCGUCAGGAAGGGCAGGUUGUCACCAAGUCGCGCAGGGCUGGCAUCGGCGUGUGCGCGUCCGCGGGCGCUCGCAGCGGGAGCAGGAAUGCAGAGGCAGAGCAGACACUCCCCUCUGUUCCAUCUUCACAACAGGCUUCUGCGGCUUUUCCCCUCGCUAAGCUGGGCGUGCAGAAGUGCUGAGGAAUAAAAGCAGUGCUCUGGCUCGCGAUGCACAGCCCGGGAGCAGCCGUGGGCUUUACGGGAAUGACAUUUACGGCUGACAUCAGAUGUGAGUAUUUGCAUUGGAUUUGGGUGUCAGCAUCGGAGGUGUGGCUUCGCGGGGACGCGGUUCCAGGCUCCUCAUCCAGCCAAGAGGCAGCUCCCUCUGAGAAGACACUCGCUGCCCUGGCUCCGCUAUCCUGCUUGCAUCCGACUCCUCCCUCCUGCAGCUCCGAACAGCGCAGGGUGAAUCCACAGCCUCUCUUUCCUACUACAUUUCUCCCUGAGCUACUAGAGCUUGAACAUCCGUGAUACUCUGCCUUCAUUCCAGCUGAACUCGUGAGUAAGGCACGUUGCCUGAGAUCUGUCAAAAGUGAACGGCAUGUUAUUGCCUGAAGAGCUUGAAUGAACCAGCUGCCAGUACUGAAAGGAUUAUGAAGAACUGCAUUUUUUUCAGCACCUUUGAUACUUCAUUGUUGCCUGAUUUUUCGAGAGCCUGAGUUGUUCUGGUUAUCAAGGGUGCUUUCACCUGGAUAUUUCUUCAUCAGAUGUCACAAAAGAGAGACUCUGGGAAAAGAAACUUGUGAUGUGGAGCUAACAGUUGUGGUUUCAGCUGGUGAAAACCUGCGGAGUCAGUGAGAAGGCUUAGAAAAACAAAUUGCCAAGGACCAUGUCGGUAGUGCCUAAUAAUUUGUCACUCAAUGGGACAAGCUUCUUUGCUGAAAAUCAUGGCAUCACGGGUAAGCCUAGUGAGCAGAGAACUUGGAAUGUCUUUCUGUUCUGCUUGACUUGUAUCAUUGCAUUCGCAGCACUUCUGGGCAGCAUUUAUUCACUAGUUUCCCUGCUGAAAAUGCAAACCAAAACCACGGUUUCAAUGAUUGUGACCUGUUUGUCAAUAGAUGAUUUGAUCAGCAUCGUGCCAGUGAUUAUCUUCAUGCUUGCCCAGUGGUCAAGUGACGUCCUCCCCCAGCCUCUGUGCACCACCUCAGCGCUUAUGUAUUUAUUCCAGGGCAUUUCUAGCAACCUGAAAGGAUCUCUUAUAGUUUCUUACAACUUCUAUAUCAUCAACAAAACUGAGGCAGUGAGCUGCAGCACUUCCAAGGGACGAGUGAACGUGGUAUGGGCUGUUCUUACCAUUUGGAUUGUCUGUUUGCUGAUCUGCAUUUUGCCUCUUUGUGGCUGGGGCAAGUACAUCCCCACCUCCUGGGGCUGCUUCACUGACUGCGCCAGCUCCUACGUCCUGUUUUUAUUCAUUGUCUACUCGCUGUGCUUCUGCCUUCUCACAGUGCUGUCUGUUCCUCUAACUUACCAGCUGCUGUGCUCAGACGAGCAGCAGCUAUUGCACAUUGAUUACCAGGAGAUCUCUGGAGGCUGCGUCACCCCUGGGACACCUGUGGGCUGCAGCACUGCCACCCGCCCGCUGUCAGCGCCAGACCCCGUGGACAGAACCCUGCAGCGUGUCCCAGCCGUGUGCCCGAGCUCGGAGGCAGUUCUUAGGCCAGGUGUGGCUGAGAGCGGUGCAGCCGAGCCCCACGGCGUGAGCAGCAUCCAGAGCAGGAACUUCACGGUGGCCUUCGCCCAGAAGCGCUUCUCGCUGAUUCUUGCAUUGACAAAAGUCGUUCUCUGGCUUCCGAUGAUGAUACAGAUGGUUGUCCAGCACAUCACUGGCUUUCAAAGCCUUUCGCUCGGGACGCUGAGCUUCCUGCUGACUUUGCUGGCUGCCACCGUCACCCCCGUGUUUGUCCUGUCGGAACACUGGAUCCACCUGCCCUGCGGCUGCGUCAUUAAUUGCAGGAGGAAUUCGUAUGCGGUGUCUUCAGAAGAGCUCAAAACCAAACGUCGGGGGUUCGGAUUCAGCCUGUCCUUCCAGCAGGGUUACGGCAUCUACCGGAUCUCCCGUGGGAACCACCGCGACGGGGACGGCAAAUCCACGUCCUGCGACACCCUGGGCAGCCAGGACUGCGCUGGCGGGGCCGGGGCGGUGGCACGUGGCACCGCAGCCCCGUCGGACGGCGCGCGGGGGGCCGCGGGGGGACACGGCCCCGCGGCGGCCGAGGGAGCCGAGCGGAGGUUGUCUCAGGAGGAGAGCCGCAAAGCCGAGCUCAGCGACUGGGAGUGGUGCAGGAGCAAGUCGGAGAGGACCCCUCGCCAGCGGUCAGGCGGGGCCUUAGCCAUCCCUCUGUGUGCAUUCCAAGGAACUGUAUCUCUUCAGGCACCCACGGGAAAAACGCUCUCCUUGUCGACAUACGAGGUAAGCACGGAAGGGCAAAAAAUAACACCCACGGCAAAGAAAAUCGAAGUGUAUCGAUCUAAAAGUGUUGGUCAUGAGCCAGACCCAGAGGAGUCUCCUAAUAGAUUCGCUGACACGAGUGUUAAAAUUCAUUUAGAGGUUCUUGAGAUUUGUGACAACGAAGAGGCCCUGGACACUGUGUCGAUCAUCAGCAACAUCAGCCAGUCCUCGGCGCAGGUCAGGUCCCCGUCCCUGCGCUACUCACGGAAAGAAAACAGGUUUGUCUCGUGCGAUUUAGGGGAAACCGCCUCCUACUCCCUCUUCAUCCCGUCAAACAAUCCCGGCAGCGAUAUCAACAUCUCCAUCCCAGACACUGUCGAAGCUCAUCGACAGAACAGUAAAAAACAGCAGAAGGAAAGAGAUGGGUAUCAGGAAGAAAUUCAGAUGUUGAAUAAAGCAUACAGAAAACGGGAAGAAGAUGGCAACAGCAAUUAAACGGCGUUUAAUUUAGGUAUUUAAACUGAUAGCCGUUGCUUCUCUUGACUCAAGGUACUCUGGCAAAUACAAUGCCAAUUGUUUUUGCUAACAUAAAUUAAUUUUAUUUCGGUACGCUGUUAAAAAGAUCAAAACUUUUAAUGAUAUAUGGAUGGGAUAACAAAUACUUGAACGCUUUACAGCUUUCCGUUGUUUAUUUCAAGUUAUUUAUAGAUCUAUUUAUUUGAGGAACAUUUGUGUCUAAAAGGAAUCCGGACCAGAGUGUUAAGAAGCAGCUUUGGUCGGUUGUUGGCCCCGGGGGGUCUGAGAACGGGAACCUGCGGAUGACGAGGGAGGUCGGGGCGGUUUGGGCUGACGAGUUCUGCUGUUACUGACGUGCCGCACUUGGAACAUCCGUCUGAAACGCUGUGGCCAAACCCAAGAGUAGCUCAUUUAGUUGACUAGAGGGUUAAAAGAUAUGUAAAUGGUUUAAUUUUCUCCUAUGUACAUGAUUCAUAUGUAAUACCAUUGUAUAGACAUUGGAACAUGGGUGGCUGAAAUACAAGUGUGCACAUUGUGUACAUGUGACAUUGUGAAACUGAAAUGUGCUCGUGGUCUGACAUUUCUUUGAUCGAAUGUGACAGAUGUUGAUGAAUUUUCUGCCCGUUACUCGGGAGAGUUCCCUUCGUUGCCUCCACAAUCUCUCACCAAGUUAAGAGGUUUCCCAGCCGUACAGAAUACCUGCACCCGGUCCAGGUGAAGCAGCAUUUGAAACGUUUGAAGAGGUGGGAUGUCAAAAGUGAUUUGAAUAAAGCUCCCUACUGACUUAAAGGAACCGAGAACUAAGUCUAAAACCAACCUUAAACCAGUGAAUACUCUUAUUUUGUGACAAAUUCACACAAGCCAAGGUGGAAGCAAUGGAGUCCUCAAGCCUUACAUUAAAUAUGCUGCAUAUGCUUGAAAUGAUUGUGCAUUUUGACUGAGAGCUUUUUUUUUCUGAGGGUUUGUCAUUCAGUCAAACAGAGGCAAAUAUACUCCCAGGACUUGUAGCAGUUGAAUUAAAAUGAUUCUGCUGCUUUACCGAAUAGAUUUACUUUCCAGAGGUGUGCGUGACAACAUCAUCAUUUAGGUGUCCGCAGUUUUCCCCUUGGUGGGAACGUGCAGGGGAAAAUAAGCACAACCAUGUUCAGGGUUCCAUUGUGGGUUAUGAACCGACAGUGCAAAAGGGCCAAAUCUCGUGUCCAUUUGAAUGCAGCGUUCGAGAUGGAGUCACGAAAACAAGCGGGCGCGCCGCCUGCCGACUUGAUCGGCGGAAACGAGCCCGGCACGGCGAGCGGCGCGGCCGUGCCGCGGGACAGCGGCGUGGCGCUGGCGACAUCGCGCCGAAGGCUGGAGGUGCUGAGGCGGAGCGGAUGCUCUGCAAGCUGUGCUGUCGCGGGCUGCCUUGCCAAGGUGGAAACGGGCUCUCAGAUCACCUCAGGGCUCUUAGUUCCACUUCUUAGUUACAUUUCGGAUUUAACAGGAACCUACAGUGGAAGGAACUGUCAGUGCAGCUUGACAUUUGAGAGCAACGUGUUUGGAGGCGACUUGAAAGAGACUCAUCUGUGCUCAGGCACCACAGCGGCUGGCUGGAAGAAUCCCUUGGAAGAGGUGACGUGAGUCAGCGCUGGGGCUUCCCUGCUCUCGGGACAUGGGCUGGAUAAAGCUGAGGACAGAAAGCAAGGAGCUAGGAAAUAAUUGGUGAGAUCACGUUUGGUAAGCGGUAUAUCCAGCGGGUCAGAGCUUCCUUCCAGCGGCACUUGCGUACACUACAAUAACAUUACAUUACAUUACAGAAUAACAUUACAUUAGCAGAGCUAUAAGAAAAUAAAUCUGUAAUGCACAGGGCCAGGCCCAGGAAUCCCAAAUGCCUUCAAGGAUUGUGCUUCUUGAAAUAAAACAUACGGCCAGAUGCUGAAAUGUAAGUUUUCUGUACUGAUCUUGCUAGCGAACGUAUCUCGCAGCAGCCCUGGAGCGUCCUUCCCGAGGCUGCGCGAAUUGCAGGUGCAGGAUGUGGACACGUAAGGCAGAAGGACGUUGCCUGCUGGAUUUCUCAGUUCUCUGCCAUGCUCCUUCCCGUCAUCUGCCUUUCAGUGAUUCCCCGUAUCCUCCGGUCCCUGCUCGCUCUGCUCUUGGUCCCCCGUUUCCCUCUUUUCUCCGGUCAGCUCGCCCUGUGGAUGUCUCAGAUCUUGCUCUCUAUUCGUUUUUAUGCAAAUUAAAAUCCGAGCUCCUUGGAGAUACCCUGGGAAAGGAUAAGCCUGGCAGCAAAACAAGCGGCUACUCAGGUGCAUGAAGUGUUUUGUGAGGGGAAAGGAAAGAAAAUACACAGAUCUUUGACUCGAAUACCUAGUUCUUAUCUCUUUACAUAGCCCAUCGCCGGGAGGCGUUGGGCUAAGUGGGUAAACUGUCGGCAGAGGAGAAAAGAGAAGAUGGUUUCCUUUGAAAGAAGCAGUCCUGUGCCUGGGAGAAGUUUGGAAACCACUGUGUAACGUAUUUCAGAGAUCUCAACACUAAUAAUUUCAAAACUUGUGUAGAUCUUACCAGGGAAUAAGAAGAGGCAAAAGAAUAUGUAAAGAAAUGAGAUUGAAGAAGCAUUUUUAGGUGCACAAUGGUAAAGAAACAAAAAGAACGUUAAUUAACUGUUGAAAAAGAAUUCUGUGAAUAAUUUUAUCUAAUUAUAAAGGUUUCAUGUAACAAUCAAGACAAGUUGGACAAAGUAAACACCACAUACAGCAGCCAGCAGACCCAGACUGGUAGGUAUUUGAAGAUGUAUGUUCUGUUUUAAAAAGAAACAAUAGGAAUAGCCAUC